rnacentral:rRNA from 1 species
UGGGGAAUAUUGCACAAUGGUGGGAACUCUGAUGCAGCGACGCCGCGUGAACGAAGAAGGCUUUCGAGUCGUAAAGUUCUUUUAUAUGGGAAGAUAAUGACGGUACCAUAAGAAAAAGCCCCGGCUAACUACGUGCCAGCAGCCGCGGUAAUACGUAGGGGGCUAGCGUUGUCCGGAAUCACUGGGCGUAAAGGGUUCGCAGGCGGAAAUGCAAGUCAGGUGUAAAAGGCAGUAGCUUAACUACUGUAAGCAUUUGAAACUGCAUAUCUUGAGAAGAGUAGAGGUAAGUGGAAUUUUUAGUGUAGCGGUGAAAUGCGUAGAUAUUAAAAAGAAUACCGGUGGCGAAGGCGACUUACUGGGCUAAUUCUGACGCUGAGGAACGAAAGCGUGGGUAGCAAACAGG